AUGGAAAUCCAGGCGAGUUGAAGUUGCUCAAUAUUUUGCAGAGCUGGAGUGAAUGCUGAAAGACAGUAAUCAACAUUCAUGGAAGUGUAAACUUCUGCUCGGCUCAAUCAUUUUGCAGAGAUGCCUCUUCGAUUUUGCCAGACAUGUGGAGCAGGUCAAUAUGCUGCACUUGCCAAUGCCGUAUGGGAGUGCUGGUCAGGUUAAUAAAAAGAGAAGCCCAGUACAAAGUGGAUAGCGGCACUGAAAUGAGGUCUAAUGUUUCCUCUAAUCAGAUAUUGAGGACAUGCAUUCUUACAGAUCAAAGUUUUAACCCUUAGGAUACUGGCAUUUUCCAGACUGCCAGCCAAACAAAUGCUUAAGGCAUACAUCUACAGUCUUCCGUGGUUUUAAACCACACAAAUUUAUCCACCUGUGUCUUUUAAUGUUUUUAAAUGGGUUUUGGUGCCUAAGCAGAGAGAAGACAUAUGUGUGACUAUGCAGAAGCCAGGAAAAUAGGGCUGUGUCUGAGGUAAGUAGAGUGUUUUAUUUCAUAUUCACUUUUCUGUUGGUUGCUAUUAAUUUUUACAACUGACCUGGCAUUUCCCAGGCAAUAUAAAGGAGGGAAUUGUUGCUUCUUUCAAGUUCCGCACUUCUAUUGUAACAAUGAAGGGCCAAUCCCUGGAUCUCUCACAGGCAAGACACCCAUCACCAGCAAAAGCCAUUAAACCCACAAUUAACAAGAGUAUCAAAAGGUGCUGAGCACUCACAGCUUUUACUGAAGUCCGUGAAAGCUUCAGGAACUCAGCAGCUUUGAAAAACAGUCUGUAUGGGCCCGGUUCUACGAAAGCUGUCUCAUUGAGGGUGGAAUUGAGCCCUAAAGCACACAUAAUACUACAGUACAUAGUAGAAACCAUUCUAAGUGUCAUAGUUUUGCCAUUUCACUCUGGAACCAAGAACAAUUAAAACACUUUUGGCUGAGCUUGUGAGUUUGUUCAAAUAAAAACACAAAUAUCAAAGUGAAACUUAUGGGGAGUGACACCCUCUGAACUAAACAGCCCCAGGAACUGAAACUCUCGAGCUUUGCAAGGCAGUAGCCAAAAUGGGGGCUGAGAGCCAGAGCAAGUUUAGUGAUGGUGGCAAUACUUUGCCCCUUUCUCUCUCUGUUCACUGGCAAACAGAAAGCAGCAAGAUGUGAUCAUCCAGAAAAUCAUAAAAAGGGAGCAGAUGCUCAUGCUUGGAGAAGAGCUUUUUAUGUAGCUAACAUCAUCGUGCUAAUGCACAUACUUUUUCAUAAUUCUGUGAUUUAAUUGUUGCCCUAAGCCUCACUCAGCAUUUCUUAAAAAUGAAAUGAGAUGGCCUGGAAAUCUUCUGCAUAAUGUAGGGGCUAAAUUAUCAGAUCUUCUGAUAGUAUCACAUGUCCCUUUUGACUCUGCCACCAGUUCAGAUAGUGAAAGAAUGCAAUCAGAGUCACUGUUUCCAUCUUUAAAUGCAUACGAUAGUGCUAAACUUUUUAUUUCAUAAUGACAUUUCGCACAGAGAUUCCAAUUUCAUUUCAAAUAAUUGUAUGCUCUUUUGUACCAGUGGAUUACAACCUCCAAGGCCUCUUCUAGUUUCCUGAAUACGUGAGCUGGAGUAGCACCAUGGCCUGUCUGAGAAGGUCCAAGUGCAAUUAAGCCAUUUAGAGAAUACCAGACUGGAGAGCUCUGCCCAUGCAGUAAUCGUAAUUGUAUGAAAAGAGUCAGGAGCUACGAAGAAUCUGCAUGGCACUCUUUAAAGAAGCACUUCAUCCGUCCAGGAGCUAUGAAUGUUGUCAUGUUCUGUGCUUGAGGGUUGAGAGAGAUUUGGAGGUAUUCCUGUCUGAAGCCCAAUAAAAACCUGAGACAUGGCUCCUGCAGGCCAGUGUGCCAACUCACCAAAUAAGGAAGGGAGUGGGGGGAGUCACCAUUACAGGUUUUUUCAUCUCCUUUUCUUCAUGGCUUGCUUUAUAUUCACAAACUAAACAAAAUCCCCUCAAACAAGCACUUCUAUCUCAGACAGUGGGAGGGGAGAGAAUGCACCUUUCCCUGCUUGUAGCUCCCUUUGCAUCAGUUUCCCCGUUCGUUUUAUAACUCCCCUCAGAUCAUCUAGUUGAUGGGCUGGAACCUGGUAACCCUUUAUAGACGAGGCUGCAUUCACACCUUGUCACAGGCAGGGCCGGCUCCAGCAUUUCUGCCGCCCCAAGCAAAAAAAAAAA